rnacentral:tRNA from 1 species
AAUAGAGUGCCUGAAAAUAGGGAGUAUUCUGAUAGAGUAAAUUAUACAAGCUAAAUUGUCUCUAUUA